AAGUCGUAACAAGGUUUCCGUAGGUGAACCUGCGGAAGGAUCAUUACCGAGUUAGGGUCCCUCCCACGGGGCCCGACCUCCCAACCCCGUGUCUAAUAAACCUGUACGUGUUGCUUCGGCGGACCGGUUCGCUGCGUGGUCUCACGGCCACAACGCCUGCCGCCGGGGGGAAAAGGAGUUCACCCUCCCCCCCUGGAGAGCGUCCGUCGAUGGCCCAACCAAACAAACUCCCAAACCAAAAUGUAUGUGAAACACAAUUCUGAAUCAGACCUUUUGAUAUACCAAUCAAAAACAAAA
rnacentral:misc_RNA from 1 species